AAUUUCGUUCAAAGCGAAAUGCAUUUUGCCGCAGUGGCAAGUGAAACAGUCAAAUUUAUGGAAAUGUAUAUCAUGGAAGCGAAAAAGGCUUGAGAUAAUUAACAAAAUAGAUGCUAAAAGGGCAAGCAGCGCCACCAGAGAAUCAAACGUAAACACACUAUGUUGGUCGGUAUAGGGCUAGGAUGAUGUUGGGGACGAAGUGAUUUCAUCACCAACAUUGUCGGCUUUUUAACGAAAACUGAAAACUUGAGUAGUUCAUGUCACUUCUUUGAAUAGAAGUAUAGUGGAUAUCCUGGGAAAAGCUUAAAGAUAUCGCCUUGGUGUCAAUUCAUCCUGAGUUCCUGAGGAGACGUUAUGUUCGAUUAACAUGUGCUUCAGGUUGGUUCAACUCUCCUAAAAAAUGACUGUAUGAUAUUAUCACUACGACUGGUGGCAGCACACAUGUGGCAUUGUACUGGGUACACUUCAUGGCUGGAUUAUGGCUGUAAUUUAUGUUAAAGGUGAGCUGUCACAAUACCUCUCUACGAAAUCGUUGGAAAUUAGGGAAAUUUAGUUGAUAACGUAAAUAAGCCACCAUAGAGAGUUUCAAAGCUGGCGUUUCGAGCGUUAUUACCCUUCGUCAGAGCGAAUGAUGAAGGGCUAACGCUCGAUUGAAACAUCAGGUUUGGUAUUUUCAGAGAGACGAAAUUUUUAGGCUUUGUAAAUGAAUAGUUACAGUAACAAGUGCGUAAAACUUGUAGAAUUUCAAUAAGUGUUAUAUCUGUGACAACCUCUUGUUUUGAGAUGAACUGAGUUAAUAAACAUGUCGAAAAAUUAUCUUUCUUGGUAUAUGGAUCGGAGUGAGUUUGAUAAUGAAUCACCAGAAUGAUGGUCGAGUUAUAGCGAAGCUGCACGUUUGGUGCCAAAAUUUUACUUAUUGACUGUAUUUUCAGAUGUAUUGCGUCGCUGAG